UUGUCUGAACUAUUAGCCCGCCAGCUUUUACCAUACAAUCUGGUGGAGUCUGAGGCAUUCAAAAAAUUUGUAGCUAUUGGGACACCGCAGUGGAAGGUACCCGGCCAAAAUUUCUUUGCGCAAAAGGCAAUCCCCAACCUGUACUCGACUGUGCAAAAGGAAGUAAUGGCAUGUCUGGCACACAGUGUUGGGGCAAGGGUCCAUCUGACCACUGAUACCUGGUCUGCAAAGCAGUGGGUACUUUAUAAAUGGC